ensembl:lncRNA
CGUGUUCUGACAACGCAGAACACGAGUGUUGGCGUAAAUGUGGCCCUCGCGGUAACAAGCAUGUUCCCGGGACCUUUAAAUCACCUGAGUGGCGGUUGUAAUUACGGCUCUCUGGGACGCCACUCAACCCCUUCUAAUGCUCAGGGGGCCCGACGGCGGCGCCACUUGUUGCGCAAGCAUCCGCGGGGAGGGUGAGCGCUGUGGAGCGGCUGAGGGUGGAGGAGAGCCGGGAUGCCCCCUUUGGCAAUUUCAAGAUCUUGUUCCACACCGUGAAGACUCUAAGCAUGAAGUCCUGACGCAUGAGCCCGCGUGAUAGAGGCGGGACUGGGAAAUCCCACAAUAUGUGAAGGAUAUACAGAUGAACCAUCCAAUUUUAGAAGAAAGUAACAUUUUAAACCCCUUCACUUCCUGCUUAAGUCCUUCUCUGUUAAAUAUUAGGUUGGUUGUCAUUUAACCAAAUGGAUUUGCAUGUAAUAUUUUAAUGAAAUGAAGCAUACAUAAACAUUAAUUAAUUCACCACAAUCAUCAUUCAGAGGCAACUCGAUAAGCAAACUAUUAACGUAGGUAAGGUUUGUCUCGGAAGCCACACUGUAAUUAUUUUGACACUUUUACGAUUGUUCUAAGAGCUCAAUUACAGAUGUUGAGUAAUAAAUCACUUUUUUGUUUAUUUAAAGUACAUCUGUAUUUCAGGUAAAAAAACGGGUUUAAUGAAUCAGUAACUUAAAUGCAGCAUUUUGACAAAAGAGUUUAACUGACAUUUUGAAUUAAUUAAUAUAUAAAAAAUACUAAUUGACUCAUUGGUCCGGUUUGAACUGGGAGGGUGAUCAAGUGGACAAUUGUGAGUGCAUUGUGCGGAGGCAUGCGGCCACUUUUACUGUAAUUCUCCACCGCGUCAGGGACGAGGUAGUCGGCUGCGUGUCUGCCUGGCAAACUGGGUCACGCUUUCCACCAGUGUAUCGCAAGCAAGUGUGUCUCCGGGUCAGGAGAGAAUGUGUGUGUGUGUGUGUGUGUGUGUGUGUGAGAGUUUGACAGUGACAUUGCAGCUGUGAAUGUAGAGGUUUAGUGUGUUUACAGUUUAUUGCCCAAUUCCAAUGUCCCCCAUAAAGCCUCAAGGACUUGGUGAUGUCAGGUUAGUGGAUGCAGAUACAACAGCUUCAAUGAGGGAAUGAAAUGUUUGAUGAAUUCUUUUCCUCUGAUUACAUGUUUCUGAGUAAAAGUAAUGUUCCGCGUUGAACGUGUCCGUGC